rnacentral:lncRNA from 1 species
UGUCAUGUCCACCAUUAUAUAGACUUGUUAAAACUCAAAAACAACCACUAACAUUGAGACCAAUGGUUGAUAAAUCAUAAUCACCACUUACUUCUUUGGAGAAGAAGCUAACAUAAUGGUGUUUAAUGAAAAUGACAGACUACACAUGCACAGUGGACUCUUCUAUAAAAUUCCUACAUUUAAAUUCUCAUAACAUAAAGGAAGAUACAUUCAUUGUUGCAGAUUAUUCAAAACUCUACACAUCCAUAAGUUUAGUCCCAGCAUGUCUGUUCUUAUAUAGGUUUUUGCUUAAGAAUACACAGGAGAUGGCUGUCACACCUUAUCUUUUAAGAGACCUCUGCAACUUAAUAGUGUACAACUUAGUUUAUCUAUAUAAAGGCUGUUAUUAGAACAAAAUGUAGGAAUCCCAAUAAGUAGCGCAAUGAUGUUAUCAUGUCUGAACUAAUUAUUAGUCGUAAGAAACAAACUAUCCUACCUACAUUAAACACACAUAUACACCUAAUGCUAAGGUACGGGGAUGACGUAUUCAUCAUUUUUGAUAAAAUUAUGUUUAUACCAAGUAUGUUGUCUCCUUUAUUGAUCACUCCCUAGGUUUAGAUCUUAAAAUUGAGCAACAGUCUGAGCAUAAUAUACACUUCCUAGAUGUAGAUAUUCUAAUAAAAGACAGAACAUUUU